GACUGCAUUCCGUGGAAGAGGAACUCAAUUAUCGCUUUCCAGUCACGAUCCAGCGUCAUGGUUGGGGGGUUUUCAUUAGCGAGCCAUGUGUGUAUUUUUAUUUGCAUUUUUGGUAUACAAGGUGUUUGAUGGAAUUACCCUGUAGGUCUGCACAUCCAUCUUGAUUCUGAAGAAUGGCACAUCGCUGCUGGAGAAUAAGGAUCCUCUGAAGGUUGAAGGUCAUUCGCUGGUCCUAAUACUUACAUAGAUCUAUUUUAAGUAAAUGAGUGACUAGGUUGGCGGAAUUCUUCUGCAAUUAUCUCGAUCUUCAAUGUUGUGCGGUCAUGCUUUCAAUUUGGAGCUUGUUGCAAUUCUCCAAUGGCUUGCUUGUUCUGAAUUCAAACUGCGCCAUGAAAAGACACCCGACAGGUUUGAGUCUCUGAUAAGGGGAAAGCAAUCUCUUGAGAUUAUGAGAUGUAACAAAGGAGCUUAUGAUUUCGAUGCUUCUCUUCUGUGUGUUGUUGCUAUACUUAGAAGACAUUAGCUAACUUUGGACCUGCUGCAAAUGCAAUUGGCGCACACAAGUGGGCUCUACAUCACAAAUUAAUUCCGAUAAAGUUGCAAAGCCUGUACUGUGAUUGUUACAAGUUGGUUAGCUCUGUUCUUGAUUUGUACCCAUUACUUAACUCUCUCUUCUAUCUGUGCACAUCGUUUCAAGAAAAGUAUACACAUAGCAUGUUGUAUUGUUCUCAUUAUAUUAGGAUACUUGCCAGAUACAAUGUUACUAGAGUAUGUAAUAUUUGACACCUUGAGAAUUGCAUUGUUGGGAUUCUAUUUUAUACAUCCUUUGCGGUAUUUUUUUUUCAAUCUUGUAUGUAGCCGAUCAAGAUGUUGCCAUUUUCUAUU